ACAUUAUAUUAAUACUCUUAAAAAAUGUUUAAUUAAAAUUCAUAGAUUCGAAAAUUGAGUUAUUAAUGUUAUUCUUGGAUUUUUACAAUUUUUCACCAACACAAUUACAAGAUAUAAGUAGCUCGGAUAAAAAGCACUUUCACUAUUAAAUUUAAUGGGCAUCACGUAUAAAAAUAUCUCUUUCUUCAUUCAUACUCAAGUUUAAUUAACAGACAAGAAAUACGCUGGCGUGCUUUCGCUUUAAAAAAUUUCAAGGGUAUUAUGGAAAAUGUUAAUGACAUUAGACAAAAACAGCUUGCAAAUAAUUUCAUUAUGCGAUAUCAAGCAACUUCUUAUUAUAUAUCCAUUUAGAUGCGGUGUAAAAAUAUGGCGAUACCGCAUAUCAUUUCCCGGUUUCCUUCCAAAAGAAGAACGAGAAAUUAUAUCUGUAAUAUGAAAAAGGAGGAAAGCUAACGAAAGGACGCAGACGGAAAGAGGAUAUGGCGUUAUCACGGCGGUUUUGAACUAAACAGGACGUUACACUAACGUUCGACCGGAUGGUAGUCAGCUGACAUAUGUAUAUACGCGCCGAUCGGUGUCGUUAGCUUUGUUUAAAUUCCUUUAGGUGUCCCAGUUAAUAAUUAUACAUACCAUACGGAUGAUACGCGUAUACACAUGUAUACUGCAUGCAGACUUGCAAUAAUAGUCUUGCAAUGACGCACAAUUGGUUAACUAUAUUGACUAAUUAUUUCUUGUAUCAUUCUGUUAUUAUUUUACACUAGUCUAAGAAAUGCGAAAAAGACAAACACAAAAAAUACACAAUUGUUUUUUUUUCAUAUAUUUUAAAAAUUUUAAAGUAAAAAAUUGGAAAAUCUUUGGCACUAAAUUAAUAUCAAUUUUCACAAGUAAUAAAAUAAAAAAUAGAUGUAAUAAAACAUAAAAAAAACUUAUCGACAAUUAUAAAUGGCAAAGUUUGUAUUUCUCACGGUUAGACAUAACAAGGUUUAAGUUCAAUGCACUUACUAAAGAAUAACGACUUUCUAUACGGAAAAUAUAUAAAAUGAUUAAUUAUUGUUCAUUGCCACUCUAAAACUCGCGAUAUCCUCGUGUAAGAAACCGUCAUUUUAGUUUCAUAUUACGUAUUUUAGUCAUUAUAAUUUACGCGAAUGUAAUGAUCGAAAUUAUGCAAUUUAUCGCAGAAUCGUAAAGGUUAGCACGCUGAAUGACUGGAUUAUGACAUAAUACAACGUUAAGUAAUCGCAGUUGAAUCCAAUGUGUAUAGGAAUAAUCUAAACUGAUGCAUAAAAUGUAACAAAGAAUUUUCUUACAUUUUUAUUAUUUAUGUGAAAUUUAAUCUUAUUACGUGAGUUGGUCCUUAUAUUCUUCUGUAAAGAUAUUUUAUUGCAUUCAAUUUAUUUCAAAGAUUUUUUUUUUUUCAUAUUUAUGACAGCUAUAACAUUUAUUCAUUACUAUUGUAAAAGAAGCAAAGUAUCGUAAAACGUCAAAACCUAUAAAUAUGUUAAAUAUAGAUUAUCAAAAUUUAUUUGUAUCAAGAUAACAUUAAUGAAAAGCUAUGAAGUGUUUUGUUACUUACAUCGAAAUAACACUCAACAGCCGAUCCUUAAUAAUCUUCAGAUCGCAGUAAUUUUUUUUUCAGAUUGAUUAAUAUUUAUUGUACGCGCAUCACUUUGUACAUUUCUCGAUAAUGCCGUUAUAGCGUGCAAUUUAUGCGGCUCCGAUUUAAUCCGUAUUUAAUUUUCAUCAAGUAGGUUUCAGUUCUGAAAAUGCUGACGUGUAAAUGUAUAACUUGUUCGUACGUAACGAAGUAAACUGUACUGAUAUCCGCUACCAUGCGUUCUUGUCAGGGAGCCGCAAAUCGAGUUAGCUUGUCGCAAAAAUAUCAUUAUGUGCUGCUUGCGCGAACGGCGCUUCUACACAUCAACUUAUACUCCUGCAAGAUCCGUAAAACCGGAUUCAUUGCGAUGAACGAACUCGCUGAAGUCAUAUAAUUACGUCCCUCCGGAUAUCGCCAGUCAAACCUAAUCACAUUUCAUGACAUGUCUCUAUUUAUGGGAAUAAACUCCGUAACGGUGUUUAUGUAAAUAAAUGCAAAAUAAAGCUAAAUCGAGAAAUAUUUCACUUCUGUAUUAUUACAAAAAUAAUCAGGUAUUAUACAGAGUAUCUAUAAAAUUUAUCAUCAUUCUUUAUAUUUCGGAAACAGUUCUAAUAAAUUAUAAAAAAUUGCAAAAUAUAUGUUCGAUUAUUUCAAGGGAUUAUUCUGUCUCCCAAUCUUCUUAAAAGAAUAACCCCUUGAAAUAAUCGAACACGUUUUUUGCAAUUUUUCAUAAUUUUGAAUUGUUUUCGACAUGUAGAAGAUAAGAACAAACUUUAUAGAUGACUUGUACAUAAGUUUGAUCCUAAGAAAGAAUUAUAACAAAAAAUGAUUUAAAUAUACUGCAAACCCAAGUGUAGUUUUACACACUUUAAGUGUGUAAACGUAGUCACUGACCCUUUGUGAUCUAUAAACACUUCACGUUUAUAGAUACGUAUUAACACAUAUAGAUUAAAUUUUAUAUUUAAUUAUAAGCUGUUAAUUUUUGUCACAAUCAAGUAAAAAAUUCGUUUUCAUAUAUAUUUUACUGCACUAAAUUAGAAAUUUUAUCCUGAUUUUUUUGAAAAAUUAAUCUAGUUGAAAUUAUGCAUAACAAAUAGUAAUUUUAGGAAAGAUGCCGAAAAACAAUGUGUACAAAGUUUUAAUACGAGUUGUAUUUGAUUGUAUCUCGCAUACAUCAAUUUUAUCAGCUGUUAACAAUAAAACUUAUUUUCUUGCACUUGACCCCGAACACCGCAUAAACAACGUGCAUUCUUCGCGAUUUCCCGCUCGAAACUUCGUGGAAGUUGAUAAAGAGGAUUACGCUACCUUGACGUGCGUUCCAGUUUCUAGUUCGUUAAGCGAUCGCUUUUUAUUUAACGUUGGCCUCGUGAGUGGUGAUAUUCUUUUUCAGCAUUUGCGAAUAUGCACCGUUACGUCGAUUAGAUGGAGCAGAAGCAAUUUCGUGAAUAAAAUAUGAAAAUUAUGCGCAAUUCACGGCACGAGGAAGCACUCGCCGGCUUCUGCUAAGCGGCGACCGCACUUUGUGUAUAUUUCUUUGUCCGCAAUACUGUUCCGAAGGAUAUCAUUGUGCGCCCAUUAGAUAAGGCAGGGAUAUCAUUUUAUAAAUGAAUAUUAACUAACGCGAAUCGUAUCCGGGAGAUACUAGCCACGGUUCUAACUUGCAAUAAUGAUUGUCACAAUGCCAAAAAUUUGAAAUUGAAUUAACAUAUUUUUAUCGCAGAUUUAUAUUAUUAUAAAAUUGACUUACGUAUUUGUCGUUGCCGAAUGUAAAAGUAGCAGAAUAUAAUUGUGAUCAAAUUUGUUUUAUAGAUCUUGUGUUUUUUUAUCUUGGCUUUGAUCUUUAUUUUUAUUAGGAUAAACUCUAUUAACCGUACGUAUCUAUUAUAUUGAUACUUGAAAUUCUAUUUUGUUCUGUCAAACAAAAUAAAAUUUCAAGUCAAAUGCACACAUAUUUGACUGACUUUCAAAAGUGUUUCAUCUCAAAAAUAAAAAAGAAAAUUUGUUAUUAUUUCGACUUAUUUUCAGACGCAGUAUCGUCUGUCCCUUGUGUUAUACAUAUUUUAGUUCAUCCUAUAUGUAAUAUUUAACUGCUUAAUUCGUCAAAAUUCUUCAAUUUCCGAUUGUUAGCAGAGAAAAAAUGUAGUUUUUAAUUUAACACCUAGUACCAGAAAUUAGGAGAAAGUGCGCAGUAGAUUGAUGAAGAGAUUUCCUCUAACCAAGUAAAUCAUACAUCUGCUGAAUCAUACUUGAUUAAAAAGGAAAUUAUCUAGAAUAUUUUAACAAAUACUAUUAAAUAAACACAAUGCUAUAUUUAUUUCAUAUCAAUUAAUUAAACACACACAUCUAAAUUUUAAAUAGAAUGUAAAUAAAGAGGUAGUUCUUUUUCGUCAAAAACAAUAAAACGGUAAAUAAAUCUCUGAACGUUAAGAAUAACUUUACGUAUGAUAAUUCAAACGAUAUUUUAAAAAAAUAAUGCGCGAAGUAUCGAUAAAAGCGUGCAUUCCUAAUUGAAGACAAAGCGGAGAAUCAACAAGUGGCAAGCGGUAUCACAGGGCUUUAUCGAAAAAUUAUUGGCAAAACUGCUUUCGUCAUUAUUCUGCGAAAUCCACUUCGCCAGGGACAAAGUUUUAUCCGGAAUGAACGUGCAAUGUUUUGCAAUGCAAAUGUUAUUUGAUAACGUGUUAAAAAAAAAAAGGAUUGAACUCUGUUGCGGUGUUAUUGAGCGUGACAAUUCUUAAGCUUCUCGGUGGAAAACAGAAUAUACGUUCGGGCUAUUAAUCAGUAGUAAUACGUAUCGCGAUGUAUCAGGCUCGCGUGAGACACGAUUGUUAAGCACGUAACAAUCUCGUUCUACAUAUGCAUGAAAAAACGGCAGAUUAAACAUUGGGAUCCCCGUUUAUCGCCAGGAAUAAUCGCUGUUCUACCCGACGCCGAUUCCCACUUCCUUAUUAUCUAAUAUGAGAAAGUAACAACUAUCAUCUCUCGCGCGGACGGAAUCGCGCGGGGGAUCGUGUGUCUGUGCGCGCGCCUAAUUUCUCCUAUUUUCCGCUGAAUGUCGGACGCCUUCGGUUUCACUUCGCUUCGCCGCAGAGGACGCGAUGAUGCGUUUUACGAGAAGCCUGGAAAUGAGUAUGUGGCGCUCGAGCGAGGCAGACUCCACCGUCGAACGCUUUAGAAAGCGCCGCGCGGUUUUCGGCGAGCAGUGCCCACUGAUAUCUAAUCGAGUCAUCCGAUCUCGCACAAUGGCACACGGAAUUGUACCUAUUAAACGGUAUUCCUUAUUACGAACAACAACCAAAUCGAUGUGUCACCACGUUAUAUCAAGAUUAAGAUUUAUUUUGCAGUAAUUCUGUAUAGAUAAAUUCAGACUUUUAUUUAUCUCUUUGCGUUAUCUUGUAAAAAUAUAGAAAAUUAAAAAAAACGAACACAACGAUCUAAAACGUAAUUAUUACAAAUUUAGAAGUAAUAUAAAAUUUUAUUUCUAAGAUUUUUAUCUUUUAAUUGCAGACGUAAAAAAUUCGUUAUGAUUGUAUGAAUUUUAAUAUAAACAAUUUUCGUAUAAUACGCGAGUAAAUAUUGAGGUUUGUCUGUUAUAAUGCGCGAGUGUAAUGACAUUACUUUCCCGAGUAACGCUGAGUGAUACAGCUAAAAUGUAAAUAAAUAGAUUUCGUUCUCCGUAAACUCUUGCUAAUGUUUCGAUGUCAUCGAGUUGAGCAAGCAGAGUAAAAUAAAAAGAUUGUUUUUCUCACUUCCGAUAAAUCUCAUCAUCGUUUGCUAUAUACUCAAUGCUGAUUAACUUGAUAGACAAUUAUUUCGAAGUGUCCGUAACAGCAAUAAUUAAUUCAACAACCAUCUAAAUGUGGCCAAUGUUCAGUUUAGGAUGCGUGACAUACCGUUACACGUGUCGUACAACGGUUUAACGAGGAUUCUCGCAGUUCGUCGACGAUGUAACGCGAGUGGAAGCGAGACGCAAAAUCGAGGACGAAUAAGUCACGAAAUAUACAGGAUGUCACGCGAUUUUCCCGCGUUUCCUUUCAGUCACGUAUUUCUUGAUUAACUUGAAGAUGGUCUUUCUAACAAUUUUUAACAUCCAAUCGAAAGUCUUCGUGAUUGAGCUAUUAACUAAAAGUCUUUAACAAUUUAUUCGAAAUCUAACGAUUAGAGUGUAAUAUUGUGAUCUACAUUGAAACUUGAUUCGUAAGAAAUUUUUUAGAUUAUCACACUUAAAAAAUAUUGAUGCUUUGACAAUCGCGUUAAAAAAAUGUUUUCCGGAGUCAUGAAAUUAAUGAUAGGUAAAAGAAAGUUUGAGACACCCUGUAUACACGAAGUGAAACGUGUUUGAAAUAUUUAGAGUUAAUUAAAAUUCCACAGCUGAUGUUAUUGGCGCAAACGUCGCCUUUGUCGAGCGACACUUAUGUCCGGCAUAUUAAAGAAAGUGAAAUAGCCGAACUGUCUUACGCACGUGAAAAGAAAGUGCAAUGCUGCUGGUGGCAGCUUACUAUCGAACUAUAUCGAUCGUUGCAUCUUCUCUCGUGGCGGCUCAACGUACUAUUUAAUGAAAAUUUGAUUUAAUGAAUACCUGCUCUCCCACUGAGGCAACAAGCUAAAUGAGAACAAAAAACCUGCAAGUACCUCUUUGCGGUAAAUUAUUUGCGCUGUCAUGUUUUGUUAGUUUAUACUAAUUGCCUCAAUUCACGGAACAUCUGUUUUAUUUGAGAUGUAUUUUCUAAUAAAUGCCGUUUAUUAUAACGAAAAUACAUUGCAAAUGUAAUAUUUUAAUAUAGUGGAGUUAUGAUUUAAUUUGGAUAAUUAUAUUGCGAUUUAAUAUUGUAUUAUAUAAAAAGUGGAUUAUUUAUAGUCUAAUUUUAUUAAUAUGAUAUGAUGUAAUAUGGAAAAAAUAUAUUUAUAAUUUUUAUAUAACUCUAGAAAAUAAACUCUACUGCGAC